rnacentral:rRNA from 1 species
CAAAAACAUCGCCUCUUGCCAAAAUCAAAGUAUAAGAGGUCCUACCUGCCCGGUGACGACCAGUUUAACGGCCGCGGUAUUUUGACCGUGCUAAGGUAGCGCAAUCACUUGUCUUUUAAAUGAAGACCCGUAUGAAUGGUUAGACGAGGGCUUAACUGUCUCCCCCUUUAGGUCAGUGAAAUUGAUCUGCCCGUGCAGAAGCGGGCAUCCACAUGCAAGACGAGAAGACCCUUUGGAGCUUAAGACCAAAGGCCAACUGUGCCCAGAGCCCAACUAAAAAGGGAUAAAGCAGGACAGUAGAUUGGCCCAAGUCUUCGGUUGGGGCGACCACGGGGGAAAACACAGCCCCCGGGAGGACUGAGAAAUCCCAGAACUAAGAAUGACAAUUCUAAGUCACAGAACAUCUGACCAAAUGAUCCGGCACAUGCCGAUCAACGAACCCAGUUACCCAAGGGAUAACAGCGCAAUCCCCUCCAAGAGUCCAUAUCGACGAGGGGGUUUACGACCUCGAUGUUGGAUCAGGACAUCCUAAUGGUGCAGCCGCUAUUAAGGGUUCGUUUGUUCAACGAUUAAAGUCCUACGUGAUCUGAG